AUGGAUUACUUUGAAGAAAAUGAUAUUGUCCAAGCGAGAAAAGAUGAAAUAGAUAAUGUGAAAGAAGGGACAAGCAGUCUGUGUAUUGGCUCUGUCUUAAUUGCAACUGUGACUUUUGCUGCAGCUUUCGCCAUCCCUGGAGGUUACAGGGCUGAUGACCACACAAAUGGGGGCACACCAACACUUGCUGGAAAGUAUACUUUUGAUGCGUUCACCCUAGCCAAUGCACUUGCGUUCACUUUCUCGGCAAUGGCUACUAUUUCUCUCAUGUUUUCUGGAUCUCCCAUGAUAUCUCUUCCAAGCCGGACAAUAAACAUACAAUUGGCCUAUUUUCUCAUCGCGAUUUCGGUUACAAACUUGACAACUGCCUUUGCACUCGGUAGCUAUAUGAUGUUAGUUGCCCCUAAGAUUGCCAUUGCAAUAUGUGUCAUGAGUUUUCUCGUAUUGCUAUAUCAGAAUUUUGAUUUCACAAUCAAGAAUUGUGUUAUUGUGUCGCUAUUAUUGAGGAGAAAGGGGAUAUGUUACAGGAUAGUCACUAUCCCAUUGACAGCAUUCUUGUUCAUGGGCUAUGUUCUAUAUCAACUUUUUCCGGUAGUUGUCGUCUUCUGUUUGACUCUGUUAAGUCACACUGGUCACAAAGUGGGACCAGUCGCACAAGCACCAACACCAUUAGCUUGA
rnacentral:rRNA from 1 species